GACGAACCGAGCGAACGUUAUUCGGAAUUACUGGGCGUAAAGCGUGCGCAGGCGGUUUGCUAAGACCGAUGUGAAAUCCCCGGGCUUAACCUGGGAACUGCAUUGGUGACUGGCAGGCUAGAGUAUGGCAGAGGGGGGUAGAAUUCCACGUGUAGCAGUGAAAUGCGUAGAGAUGUGGAGGAAUACCGAUGGCGAAGGCAGCCCCCUGGGCCAAUACUGACGCUCAUGCACGAAAGCGUGGGGAGCAAACAGG
rnacentral:rRNA from 1 species